rnacentral:lncRNA from 1 species
CAUAAAUUGAUAUGUAAGACAAAUCAUAUUAUAUAUGAGAUUGUAUCAGCCAAAUCAUUCUGUAAACAAAAAUGACGGUAAAAAACUGACUCAAGUUUGACAUAGACAAUAGACAAGAUGAAAACUAAUAUUAACUAAAGACCACAUAUGUUGUCCUGAUGAUUGCAAUGUAAGGAUGGCUUUCAUGAACCAUCUGGUUUGGACUGGGACUACAGAGUUGCUUGCUAAGUUGCUUGAGCCCUCAAGAGAAAAUCAAGCAGAUUAUCCAUCUCCUUUUGCUUCUUUGCCUAGGCUUCAUUCUUCUCUUGUUGGAUCUUCUUUAGAGCUUCCAAUUCUUCUUGCUGCUUCUUUUGUAUCUCUUCAAAUGCUCUCUCUUGUGCUUCAAGUCUUGAGGCUAACUCCUCCCGAUGCCUAUAAAUGACAAACACAACAACGUUGCAUCAUAAUGAGAUGAAAAUUGACAAGAUAACAUGCAUAACCUUGAGCUAGAGGUAUAAUGGUUAAAGUACAUGUAAUCAAUGCACCCCUUAGCUUAGCAUACACAUCACCCAUGCGUUUAUGUUCCGCGAGGAAUGCCCUCCUUUCCCUCUCACUCUCCCGAACUAGUGGCAUGAUUGUAGUAGCAGAACAUGCAGGAUGAAAAAGAGUGGAACUAAAUGAAUUGCAAAAUACUUACUAGCAUGUGUCAUAAAACUAACUAAAUGAAUUCCACUUCAACUAGUUUGGAAUUGGACCUUAGACAAUGCAACAAUUUUUCAUGCGCAUAUGUACUUUCCUAAAACAAACAUGAAUGUAAUAAAGUAGCAAAAUUAGCACGCAAAUACAUGUUUGUCUUUGCAUUGAUGGUAAAAAUUAACAAAACAGAUUCUGUAACGUAGUACUUUAAAUAAGCAGCACUAUUAAUAAGCAUUUCACGUAAUAUUGUAUUAACAAAAAAUGAAGAUUUCAUCGCUUUGGGGUCUAACGAGUGUACCAAGUAGCAUAGAAGACGCAGCCAGUAAGCCUAUGAAAACAAGAUGAGAAAAUUCAGAAGAGAAAAAUGGCAAAACUUAAGAUUACUAUAGAUGAUACACAAGUGCUUGACUAGAAAGAUUACUUACAAAAACUUGCCAAUAAUGGUAGCAAAGAUUUACUAGUACAUUAUGAAGCUAUUUACUCAAUCAAGCAAUUUAAUUUGAUGGCAAUGUGAUAAAAUAUAAUAUAAGAAACAAGGACUCCUUAAAUAUUAGAGCAUCUCUGAGUGCAAUGCUGGGACCAAAUCCCGUCCACGCCCUCCUCCACCUUCAGCCUGCUCAAAAAGAUUUCAGCUAAUCAGGCUAUCAUUGUUCAGAUAUAUGUUCUGUGUUAGCAAAUUGUUUGCCUAUCAUAUCCCCAAUAGUCUGUCCUGCUCAUGGUUGCUGCACUCAUGUAAUUGAAAAAUAAAAGUAUAAAACUCCUAGCGAUUGCAUAUUUCAGUUGAAAAACAUCAAUUGCUAUCUAAGUGUUGAUAAGCUGCAGGUGCCAACGUUAGUCAUUAUCUCCAGAGUAUACACAUACUAAUAGAAGCAUGGGUAAACACGUCAAAAAUACAAGAAGAAACAUUUUGCUCACCUUGGGUUCAGUCUUCUCAUCGACGAUGUCAGCUUUGAACUUGAGAAAUCCCACACACGCUGAACAUGUCCACUCCCGCACAGCCAGAAAGCGCCAUUGAUUUCUCGCUCAAACAUUUAAAUGGAGAGAAUGACAGGAGGAGCGCCACAACAAAGCAUCUGGAUGGGAGCAGCGCUGCAAAAUGCCUGCGACAGUGGCCUCGUCAGGGAAACAGAGAAGGGCGGCAUGGUCUCGAGGAGGAUGCAGCGGGCGUGGUAGAGGAGCGCCACGGUGGCUGGCUCCGGCCAGAAGCCCAGAACCCGCCCAGCUGUA